rfam:Triticum aestivum genome assembly, contig: Triticum_aestivum_CS42_TGACv1_scaffold_032033_1BL
GAUAUACUCCCUCCUUCCGAAAAUACUUGUCUUUGAAAUGAAUGUAUCUAGAUGUAUUUUAAUUCUAGAUACAUCCAUUUUCAUCCCUUUAUACGACAAGUAAUUCCGGAUGGAGGGAGUACUUG